GACGAACGCUGGCGGCGUGCUUAACACAUGCAAGUCGAACGGAGCGAAUGAAAGCUUGCUUUUAUGAGCUUAGUGGCAAACGGGUGAGUAACACGUAGACAACCUGCCGAUCAGAUGGGGACAACAUUCCGAAAGGAAUGCUAAUACCGAAUGGCGUGUAGGGGAGGCAUCUUCCCUACAUGAAAGAUGGCCUCUAUAUGUAAGCUAUCACUGAUCGAUGGGUCUGCGUCUGAUUAGCUAGUAGGUAAGGUAACGGCUUACCUAGGCGACGAUCAGUAGCCGGUCUGAGAGGAUGAACGGCCACAUUGGGCCUGAGACACGGCCCAGACUCCUACGGGAGGCAGCAGUGGGGAAUCUUCCGCAAUGGGCGCAAGCCUGACGGAGCAACGCCGCGUGAGUGAAGAAGGUCUUCGGAUCGUAAAGCUCUGUUGAAGGGGACGAACGAUCGAGGGGCGAACAGGCUCUCGGAGGAC
rnacentral:rRNA from 1 species